CACGUAGGGGCCAAGCGUUGUCCGGAUUUAUUGGGCGUAAAGGGCGUGUAGGCGGUCUGUUAAGUCUGAUGUGAAAGCCCGGGGCUCACCCCCGGAAGUGCAUUGGAUACUGGCGGACUCGAGUCCCGGAGAGGAGGGUGGAAUUCCUGGUGUAGCGGUGAAAUGCGUAGAUAUCAGGAGGAACACCGGUGGCGAAGGCGGCCCUCUGGACGGUGACUGACGCUGAGGAGCGAAAGCGUGGGGAGCGAACAGG
rnacentral:rRNA from 1 species